AUGUUGAAGGAAGUCCUCGUCCUCUGUGGCCUCGUGGCCCUGGCCCUGAUCCACCCAACGGAAGGCCAAGAAGUGUCUACAAACUCUAUGACGGAGAAUCCAACCAACCCAACUACAGACAGUCUGGUGGUGGAAACCAGCCCAGAGCCAACCCAGGAACUCUGCAAUGAAUCCAAUUGUGUGACAGGAGCCAAGAGCACCCAAGACCCUACUGAGAGGCCAAGAAGUCAACCCAGUGAGGAGCCACUCCUGGAAACCAGUCCUGAGCCCAGCCAAGAACCAAGUUCAGAACUUCUGACAACCACGGAGGAGUUCCCAACUGCCGAGUCCACUGAGAGCUACAGAACCACAGAGGAGAUCCCAACUGCUGAGUCCACUGAGAGCUACAGAACCACAGAGGAGAUCCCAACUGCCAAGUCCACUGAGAGCUACAGAACCACAGAGGAGACCCCAACUGCUGAGUCCACUGAGAGCUACAGAACCACAGAGGAGAUCCCAACUGCUGAGUCCACUGAGAACUACAGAACCACUGAGGAGAUCCCAACUGCUGAGCCCACUGAGAACUACAGAACCACAGAGAGGAUCCCAACUGCUGAGUCCACUGAGAGCUACAGAACCACAGAGGAGACCCCAACUGCUGAGUCCACUGAGAGCUACAGAACCACAGAGGAGAUCCCAACUGCUGAGUCCACUGAGAGCUACAGAACUACAGAGGUGACCCCAACUGCUGAGUCCACUGAGAACUACAGAACCACUGAGGAGAUCCCAACUGCUGAGCCCACUGAGAACUACAGAACCACAGAGAGGAUCCCAACUGCUGAGUCCACUGAGAGCUACAGAACCACAGAGGAGAUCCCAGCUGCUGAGUCCACUGAGAGCUACAGAACCACAGAGGAGAUCCCAGCUGCUGAGUCCACUGAGAGCUACAGAACCACUGAGGAGAUCCCAGCUGCUGAGUCCACUGAGAGCUACAGAACCACAGAGGAGAUCCCAGCUGCUGAGUCCACUGAGAGCUACAGAACCACUGAGGAGAUCCCAACUGCUGAGCCCACUGAGAACUAUAGAACCACAGAGAGGAUCCCAACUGCUGAGUCCACUGAGAGCUACAGAACCACAGAGGAGAUCCCAGCUGCUGAGUCCACUGAGAGCUACAGAACCACAGAGGAGAUCCCAACUGCUGAGCCCACUGAGAACUACAGAACCACAGAGAGGAUCCCAGCUGCUGAGUCCACUGAGAACUACAGAACCACAGAGAGGAUCCCAGCUGCUGAGUCCACUGAGAACUACAGAACCACAGAGAGGAUCCCAACUGCUGAGUCCACUGAGAGCUACAGAACCACAGAGGAGAUCCCAGCUGCUGAGUCCACUGAGAGCUACAGAACCACAGAGGAGAUCCCAACUGCUAAGCCCACUGAGAACUACAGAACCACAGAGAGGAUCCCAACUGCUGAGUCCACUGAGAGCUACAGAACCACAGAGGAGAUCCCAACUGCUGAGCCCACUGGGAGCUUGGAAACCACAGAGAGCCCCACUGCAGAGACCACUGAAAGCUCCACUACUGCCUAAGCAUCCAGCCCGUCCUCCGACAACAGCCUUCAGCCAGGGGGCUCCCCGGGAGCUGGGGACAAGGACAGCUGUGGAGCCAAAAGCCCGUUGGAGAAGCAGUCGGUGGGGAGAUGGCUGGCCCGAUUCGGCCCCUUCCCAGCUGCCUGGGCCAACAUCCUGGACCAGAGCCCGAUUGCCUCCGACCUCCAUUGCUCUGUCCCGGCCUCUCUUUGGGCGCUGAGCCGCCCUUUUGUCACAAAUGCCUGAAAACAAUAAACCAAGUCUGAGGACAGGAGUCCCCA
rnacentral:lncRNA from 1 species